rnacentral:lncRNA from 1 species
AUGUUGGAGACACAAUCGUAUUCGAGUACAACAACCAGUUUCAUAACGUGAAGCAAGUGACCUUCCAAGAUUUUCAAUCUUGCAACGGAGCCUCCCCCAUAGCGACCUUCACCAGUGGCUCUGACUCUAUCACCCUCAAAAGGCCAGGCCACUACUAUUUCUUGUGCGGUGUUCCGGGACACUGUAAAGCAGGACAGACACUUGACAUCAUGGUUACUCCAGCUUCUCUGCGCCCAAGUGCAAGUCCAUUAUCAGCUCCUAAUUAUAGUUCAUCGCCAUCGUCAUCGGGCUCAGCAUCUUCACCGGCACCUUUGCCGAACCCAUAUCAGAGCAAUGCUUCUUCUCUCCAAGUCCUUUCGGUUUGGCCUGCUUUGAUCAGCCUUGCAAUUUUUGUCAUUGGUUUCGCAUACUAGGCAGAAUUUCAACUAAUUUACCUUUUUUUCUCUUUAAUUAGGUCUUGUAUUAGCUUUCUUUAUAUUCAUCGCACCGACGUGGUAACUCUUAAAUCAAUUAAUUAUAAAAAGUGAGCAAAAUCAAUAAUUUCUAAUUCUUUUGUUGGCCAAGCACAAGGCGGGAGAUACAUUUUGUUUCUUCCAGUAAAUCUUUUAAAUUAAAUCAAAGUUAAUCGACAAUUUCCCGCGAACAAAAGAUACAGAAUUUUCCUAUAUUGUAUCUAUGUUCACUUAAAUGCGUGGAAAGUUUAUAUAUGAAUGAAGCUGAUUAAUAUAUGAGUGGGAAAUUUAUAUAUUAAAUGUGGGGGUACAGCCAAACAUAAAGAGUACUUAAUUUGGAAAUUUUUAUAUAGAGAAGAAGAAUUUAUGUAUGAAUGAAACUGAUUGAUUGAAAAUAUUGAUUACCAGGGAGAAGAAAGUUUUGGAUGCUCAGUCAAUUGGUAUAUACAAUUUCAUCCAGUGGAUUCUUGGAUAAAUAAAUAAAUACUAAAAUAAGUAUAAUUAAUCAAAUGUGCUCUAAUUUUUUAUAUAUUAUUUAAAAUUUAAAUUCACAUCCUCUUAAUUUACGUAGAACUUAGCAUUUCUUUUUGUUAAUUAGAAAAUUUUGAUUCACCUAUAAGUUUUUCAGUGAAAAAACCAACAAUCUUUGAAGCGCUCCAAAUAAUAAUAAUGUUUUAAACGCAAAAGCUAAUUGAAAAAAAAAAUUAAGAAAAAGGUAUAGAAAUGAGAAAAUUAAAAAUUCCCUCUCUAGAUUGGCUGAUAAACACUUAACCUAAACUGAACGAAACUGCUACACACUUCCUCCUACUUUCAAAACAUAACACUCUUCCCCAAUGCUAACUUCCCCUACUAUAAUCCGCUGAAACUGCUACACACUUCCUCCUACUUUUUCCUCCUACUUUCAAAACAUAACACUCUUCCCCAAUGCUAACUUCCCCUACUAUAAUCCGCUUACUUCUAGGAAGAAGUCUAUAAUGCCAUUAAUUCAAUUUAAGUAACUUUGAACUUCAAACCGGUGAAGAAAUGGAAUAUUUUCAAGUCAACAUUUGAACAAAACUGUACGAGAGAACCCACCCAUAAAUGGAAACAAAAACCAUAUUUUGAAAAUAAAACCAAUUCACUUCAUCUAUCUUAUAAAAAAGAAAAAAAAAUCAACUCAUCUAUCAUCUUGUACGAGGGCUAACGUGAAUUAGUUUAACCACGUAACCAUCUUUUUUUCUUUAAUUUUACAAUUCUUUGGUUCAUUUUUUUCCUUGAUUGUUUCUGUAAAUCAUCAUCAUAUGUAUCACUCUAUAUUGUUGAAGCUUCAACCGGAUCUUCUUUAUAGCAUCUUGUUGAUCUUGAUUCAGGAUCUUGGGCGGUACCAAAAGGUGCUUUGCUUUCUAGCCCUUCAGUUAGUACAAUUGGCUUUACUAAUCUUCUAUUGCUCGACAAUGCAGAUCUCUUUUCGAUGAUUUACUAAUUGUGUCACCUAAUUCUCAAAGAAAUAAUGGAUUAUCCAUUAGAUGAGUCGCAUAGAACUCCUUAAACCAUUUCUUUCUUUCUUUGGAGUUGGCUCUUUUUUUUUUUUUUUUUUGUGUAGCACAGAAUCGUCCAAUCAAAUAAAUAAAAGUUGGCACCAUAUAAAUGAUUUGGAAUUUUAAUUUUAAUUUAUAUUGUAGCGAUUGAUGUUAUGUAAAAUUACUCAAAUAUAUUAACAUAAUUGUUAAGUGUAUGUGUUUUUUUUAAUAUUUGUCUCUUUUGAUCCCUAUAAGUAAUGAUUUUAAUGAUCUUCUUAAUAUUUUUCUCUUGUUGUCUUUUUUUUGAAUGUUAAAAUUAUAAAAAAUAAAGAUAGUCAAAGAAUCAAGAUUCAUGAAUCAGCUUGCCCAUAUCAUUAUUGUUAUAUUUAUUUGUGUUUGUAUUUAUUAUUACCAUAUGAAAGUUUGUUGCGUGUAGCUCGCUCUAUUCUUCUGAUUCUUCUCUGUAUAAAUCAAAGCUGACAGCCAGAAGUGGAAGACCUUUAUUCAUCUCAUUUUCUUUGUUUCCUCCAAAAAACUUGAUUUUGGCUCUCUGUUAAUUCAUUGUUUGGUAUUUGGCCCUUGUUUUUGGUCAAAUUAAGCGAAAAUUUCAUUUGAAUUCUUUGAGUUUCUGGAUUUGGGGACUUGGGUUUGAUUAUUUUCUUCCGUUUUCAUAUAAAAAUCUCAUCUUUCAAUUUUAGAUACUCGCUAUUAGAUAAAUUUUGAAACUUUAUACCUGGGUAUCCAACAAAGAGCCAAUACGUAGAAAGAUACGAGUUCUAAUUGAAAUUUAGUUCAUUUCUUUCAAAAUUUUGUUUUGGCCUAUUUAUAUUAAAUUGUUUUACUUUAGAGCUCAUAAACUUUGUAGAUUCAUCAUUUGGAUCCCUAUUGAACCAAAAUUCUAGUUCUACCACUAGUAAACCCUUAAAAAAUAAAUAGACAUCUAAUCUUAAUCCCAUCAUGAAUUCGUUGAUUUAAAAUUUUAAUCAAUAUAAUCAAUUUAGAAAAUUUACUAAUAUGAAAAUAAAAGCAAAAUUAUAGGUUAGAAUACUAAAGAGAAAAUCUUCGUCAUUGUUAAACUUAUCUAAAAUUAACUAGUAAAAAUUUUAAUGAUUAAAAAUAUAUUAAUAUCGAGCAUAUAAUUCAUUGGGAUAUUAAUGGGUCUAGCUCAAACUAUUUUAUAAAUUCAAACUCUUCCGAAACUCAUCUUGGGGCUAGAUCAUGUAACGUAAACGUAAACAUGUCAUGUAUUCAUUUUAUUGCUAAACUGUAUUUUUUAUUAGCUCAUGUUUCAGUGGCGGAUUCACAAAAAAAAUAAUUAUUUGAGAAUCAAACUCUCAAAUUAUAUUUGAUAAUUCUCCAUGUAAUAGGUCCAAAACAACUCAAGUAAAUUAUAUUUAAUAAUUUAAACAUAAUUAGGGAGUAGAUUAUUGGAGAAUCCAUUGCAAAUUGAAAACAUACUCUUACUGUGGUUGGUUUUGGGUUUUGUGUGGCAUGAUCAAAACUGCAUUGUAGUCGUUCCUAGUGCUAAAUUUAUUUAAUUUAUUUUAUAUUUUUAGGUUUAAUUCUGAGUUUUAGAAAAACAACAAACCAUUUUAAAGGGCUUCAAGUAAUAUCAAUCAUAUUAAUUUCUCAAUGGAAAAACUAACGGAUUUGAAACCAAGAUGGGUUAACAAAAUAAGAAUGAUUGAUAUGUUAAGAAAACUAAAAACGUAACCAAAUAAUGGAAGUUUUUCACUUCGUAAUAGUAAGGCAAAAGCUUGACAUCCCACGAAUCCGACAGCUUUAAGGAAACAGGAAACUUCGCAGCUUCCUAAAUAAUAAUCCUUUACAAGUAUGGAAACACCGUAGCUUCAUUAAUUACACGAAAUCCGAAACCGCAUAGGAAGCCUUUUCAGUCCAGGAUUUUGGAGUAAAAAAAAUUCUUAUAAAUAAGGCCAUACACUGUCUUUUGCCAUACAUUGAUUCACUGAUCAUCUGGCUCUUCUCUCUUAGUUUUCUUGCUUUUACAUUGAUUCACAGAUCAUCUUGCUCUUCUAUCUUAGAUUUCUUGCUUUUACUCAGCUAAUUUUUCCUUCUCUUUCGGACAUUUGAUUGAACACUGAUGGCUCUUACGAAGAAAAUACUAGCUUUCUUGCUGAUGGCAACGCUUGUUGGCGUGUCUCUUGGUGCUGUUCACAAAGUUGGUGACUCCGCUGGAUGGACUACAUUGGGCAACAUCGAUUACAACCAAUGGGCUUCUUCCAAGAACUUCCAUGUUGGAGACACAAUCGUAUUCGAGUACAACAACCAGUUUCAUAACGUGAAGCAAGUGACCUUCCAAGAUUUUCAAUCUUGCAACGGAGCCUCCCCGAUAGCAAUCUUCACCAGUGGCUCUGACUCUAUUACUCUCAAAAGGCCAGGCCACUACUAUUUCUUGUGCGGCGUUCCGGGACACUGUGAAGCAGGACAGACACUUGA